rnacentral:rRNA from 1 species
UAGGGAAUAUUAGUAAUGGGCGAAAGCCUGAACUAGCAACGCCGCGUGUGCGAAGGAGGCCUUCGGGUUGUAAAGCACUUUUUGAGAGGAUGAGGAAGGACGGUACUCUCAGAAUAAGUCUCGGCUAACUACGUGCCAGCAGCCGCGGUAACACGUAGGAGGCGAACGUUAUCCGGAUUUACUGGGCGUAAAGCGCGUGUAGGUGGUUUGGUAAGUAGGGCGUGAAAGCUCCUGGCUCAACUGGGAGAGGCCGUUCUAAACUGCCGAACUAGAGGAUGGUAGAGGGAGGUGGAAUUCCAGGUGUAGCGGUGGAAUGCGCAGAUAUCCGGAGGAACACCAGUGGCGAAAGCGGCCUCCUGGACCAUUCCUGACACUCAGACGCGAAAGCUAGGGUAGCAAACG